AGGUAUGGAGAACUUGGUGGCUGGCUCCAACCUUCCUCCUCUUUUUACAGAUGAAGAUGGAUCGAAGGAAGGUAGUGAAAUUACUGUAACUGGACUAGCUCAUUCUGAGAGUUCAUUCACUGGUGGAACUUCACAGUCUGUGAAUAACCCAGAUUUGGUGGAGGAUUUGUCACAGGUUCAGCAGCUGCAAAAUGAGUCCUCUAAUACUGCUGAAAACCCUGAGCAGAAGCCUGAGGAGGAGCAGCAAAGAACUAAACGAGGAGGCUGGGCCAAAGGGAGAAAGAGGAAGAAACCCCUUAGGGACACCAAUGCCCCCAAAUCCCCCCUCACAGGGUACGUGCGGUUCAUGAAUGAGCGUAGGGAGCAGCUUCGAGCGAAGAGGCCUGAAGUCCCUUUCCCAGAGAUCACCAGGAUGCUGGGCAAUGAAUGGAGUAAGCUGCCUCCUGAGGAGAAACGGCGAUACCUUGAUGAAGCAGAUAGAGAUAAGGAGCGUUACAUGCGGGAGCUGGAGCAGUAUCAGAAGACUGAAGCCUACAAAGUGUUUAGCAGGAAAGCACAGGACAGACAAAAAGGCAAAUCACACAGACAAGAUGGAGCAAGACAGCCAGCCCAUGAUCAUGAGAAAGAAGCAGACACAAAGGAAAGAUCUGUUUUUGAUAUUCCAAUCUUCACGGAAGAGUUCUUGAAUCAUAGUAAAGCACGAGAAGCUGAGCUGCGGCAGCUGCGGAAGUCCAACAUGGAGUUUGAGGAGAGGAAUGCUGCUCUGCAGAAGCACGUGGAGAGCAUGCGUACUGCCGUGGAGAAACUGGAGGUGGAUGUGAUACAGGAGCGGAGCCGCAACACAGUGCUGCAGCAGCAUCUGGAGACCUUACGCCAGGCACUCACAACCAGCUUUGCUGGAGUCCCACUACCAGGUAGCGGGGAAACACCCACGAUGGAAACUAUUGAUUCCUACAUGAACAGGCUGCACAGUAUUAUUCUGGCUAACCCACAGGAGAAUGAGAACCUCAUCGCCACAGUCCGGGACGUGGUGAACAGACUUGAACGCUAGUGACUGGGUUUCGUGCCCCAGAGAUGCUUUACAAUUUUUUUUGGCCAGUGUGGAAUAAGAAGCCAUGAGGGAAAGACAUGGGGUGGGAGGCAGAAGUGCAGGUUUGUCCUGGUCCCUGCCUUUGUGGUUUGUCAGUGAGGCACAGAUCUCAAUACUUUAAAAGGUCUUAAGAAGCCACGGACACCACCCACUAAACAUUUGGAACUGUCCUCUGUGGAAGCAUUUAAAGGCAUGCAACUUUUGUGCAAUCUUCAGUUUCUGACUCCUUUUGCUGGGUGUGAGGGUGCGUACGUUUGUGGACUGGCUGGCUACGGAGAUGGAAUCUCACAGUUGGUGAAAUGAAGUCAGCCCGUAUGUUGUAGUAAUAACUUUGGUGUGUUAUAUUGCCUAAUGUCUUCUGGUGUCUUUUCUUUUUUCAUGUUUAUCUUGUGGGAUUACCCUCCUCCACUUUCCUUUUCUUCUUUUAAUCUUGUUACCUGAUACUUGCAGUACUGGACAGCAGCGCUUGUGUUCUCUGCUGUAACAAACAGUUGUCUUUGGUGUCCCACUGUCAUGUCCUACCCUGCCUGUUAGGUUUGUAUAAGCUUUUCUUAAGCAGAAUCCUGUUUUUUUCUGUGUUAGCCUGCAACUUCUACAACGUGAGUCUGCUCCAUGCUAGCUGUGGUUGAUGCUUUGUGACUUGAUUCUACUGUGAGAUCGACUUCUCUUUCGCCUCUCUUCAGUCACCUCUCUUGCACAUAAGCAUCCUGCUCUUCUGUAAAGGUCUCCUGUUAUCUCUUCAAAAUGUUUGGUGGAGCAUUUUGCUACCACAAAGGUCAGUGGUAAUCAAGAUAGCAAGUGAAAUGUUAGUAGUUCUCAGCAGGGAAAAUGGGAAUCUCCAUUUUAGACUAAAACCAGAGAGCUUGCCCUUGCUCUGAUGUGUAAUUUAAUGUUACUGCCUUGUUUUUGAGAGAAUGAUCUCAUGCUGAGAGUGGUGUUCUAUAAAAAGAGAAAUGAGCAGAGGGAUUGCUGGAUUUUUUUCCUGAAAUCACAGUGCUGGGACACAAUAUGCCUGGAAGCAGCACAUGUAUUUUUGCAUGAAUUAUUAGAGCAGAGAAGGUUAUUAGCAGCUAGGUCCACAUAGCAGGCCUCAGAAUUCUACAUUACAGCCUGUAAGUGCUUUCACCUUUUGUGCAGUUAAAGUAGAGCCUGUGGAGCCUAUAGCAUUCAGUGUAUUAUGUUCCAGGGUGACCUAAAUGGCCUUUCACUUGCAUCAAGUAGAACUCUGCAUGCUACAGUCUGUAAUCUUGCUGAGCUGUGCCGCACCCCAUGUCAAAGAUGAAGGCACCCACUGUCUGCGCUAACUUACGCAAAUCAUUCGCUGCCCUCUGGUUCCUCUCAGAUUGUUAAUUCAGACUUUGGCUGAGCGCUUGUUGGACGUCCCUGGGCUUUAUGGUAGUGGUUGAAAUGCUCUUUCUUCCACAUGACAAUCUCCUUGCUCCUCCUUAAGCAAUCUUUAAGAUCCCCCGUUGUGAAUUGGAGGUUGCUUUCAUUACUGGAGCGUGUUGCAGUCAACAUCAGUUUAACGUAUCCUUAACACAAGUAUCUGAAAAUUAAAAAGCAAUUUCUUCUUUUCCCACACUGUACACUUGGACUUCAUGCUUGCCUGAAGCCAUCUCCAGGUCAACACCCUGUGUGUCAGGUCUCUGCUUACUUAUGGGUUUACUGCUGUAGCCAAGCAGCAAGGAUUUCCAUGUAAAUUCAAGUCUUCCUUCAGGGAGGAAACUCCUUUCUCUUGUCUUCAGUCUCAUUUUCAAGACUUCACAAAAGGAACCUCAAUUUGCUGCAUUGACUUCCCCUUUCCUUAGCAUGGAUGAGACCAGCUGAUGUUGGUGUGAAUGUUUUUAGUGGAUUCUAUAACAAAUAUCGUGUGGGGGGAAAAAAGUCCUCCUGGUUAAUAGUUUCUCCAGAAGAAGCACUGACAACCUUCAUCAUCUCCUGUGUGUAUCUUGUUUUCCAGAGUUGGUGAUAUUCGACUUCUAUUGAAGCAGCCAAAAUGCACUGCAUAAGCCAAAAGUUGAUUUACAAAAUUCUGAAGCUCAGUUUGUGGCAUCUUACCUAAUACUUGGAGUUGUAUGCUAUAAAGACUCCAGAAAUAGCUAUGUAAUAUGAUAGUAGGAUGCAAUUCCGGGCUGUGACAUACACAUACUAGCAGAAAAAAAAUAUCCUUCAAAGAGCUACACUUUCUUUGUAUCAGCUGAAUAUAUAUGCAAUAAUUUGCCAGCCUGAUGGAGACAGGAGUUGAAAUAUACUUGGAGCAGUUAUGUUCAACCAGAUGUAAGUGCUGGCACUACCUGGAGCUUAUUUCUCCCACAAGGUGAUAUUUCUACCAUGUAAUCUUGCCUCUUCCUGCUAUAGGCAGUAUUAGGGAGAAUGUGUCAGAAGAUUUAGUCAAAAUGGCUUUCUGUCAGGAAAUUCCAUUUCAGUUAUGCCCGUGGGGAAAGAGUGCGUAGAUUUAGGUAAAAAUUCAUAGAUCUUGGGUUUGACCAGUUAUAGGGGCAAGUCCACAUGCCUGAUUGCAGAAGCACUUGCAUUUACAAAUCCUACCCUCAGGUUCUCUAGGGAGAUGAUUUCUUUCAUCUUGCCUGCUGCUUCCAUGUGCUUAGUUGCUGAAGCAGGGAUGGAGGAGAGGAGCUUUUCCUAGUGGAAAAAACCCACCACACCUAUAAAGAUGAUGAUUAAAACUAAGCAAUUAAAGUUCACAUGUGUGGUAGGUUCUCAGUGUGCAGGUGCAGCCAUGAAAACAGUGGGAAGGGGUCUGGGCUGUAGCUGAGGAGCUGAACUGCCUUGGUGUCACAUGGAGUGCUCAUUGUACAGACUGGGUCUAAACUGGUGGUGGUGUUGGGGGGGAAUUACCUUAUCUCUAAGCCUCAUCUCCCUUCCAAAUGAGCCUGUAACCUCAGACUGAGAAAGCAGUGCUCAGGAGAAGGGAGUCAUCCAUAACAAAUGCAGCUUCCAAGUGCCAGGAGCAUUUGUAGAAAAAACAAGCCCAAACUUCCUUCUGUAUUAGUGAAUCUAUUUAACAAGCCUUACCAAGGUAACUCAGUGCCUGACCCACAGCCAUCCCCAGGAGGAGAGGGUGAUGGAGUGAAUGAAUUGCAGCUAAUAGUUACUAGCUUCCAGACUUGGUGAAAAGACAUGGUGGGUAAGUGUGCAGGAGACUCAGUACAUGAGAACCUCUGAUUUUCUUCCCUCUAUAACUGUCCCUGUGCUUCAGAACAGCUCUUCGUAAUUCCUUUCCCUUACUGUCCUUAAGACCAAACAGCUUCUUACUCCCCGCUUGAAGCAUUUAGGCUCUGUUGAUAUGGAACCAUUCCCUGUCGCUCCCUCCAGAGCCCAGUAAGUUAUAUCCCUGAGAAUCCUUCUGUCCAACAUUCUGUGGUAUAAAAAAGAAAUGAAAAAAUCCUUUUUCUGCUUCUCCCUUUCCUCCUGGUCCCUUGCACCUGAGCUGGCUGUAUCUGUGAAGCUCCAAAGCCUGUAAGUGAUGCUGAUUGCUUCUGAGUCAGAGAGGCUUUUAAAUCUGGGUGUAAAAUGAGACUCCUACAGCAGUAAACAGAGUGAUCAUAUACCUCCUUUGAAGUUA